UACGUAGGUGGCAAGCGUUGUUCGGAAUCACUGGGCGUAAAGCGCACGUAGGCGGAUGUGUCAGUCAGGGGUGAAAUCCCGGAGCUCAACUUCGGAACUGCCUUUGAUACAGCACGUCUUGAGUCCGAUAGAGGUGGGUGGAAUUCCUAGUGUAGAGGUGAAAUUCGUAGAUAUUAGGAAGAACACCGGUGGCGAAGGCGGCCCACUGGAUCGGUACUGACGCUGAGGUGCGAAAGCGUGGGGAGCAAACAGG
rnacentral:rRNA from 1 species